GAAAUGCACUUUUGUAAGUCGCUUUGGAUAAAAGCGUCAGCUAGAUGACAUGUA
rfam:Gasterosteus aculeatus cont1.010146, whole genome shotgun sequence.